AGGCCUGCCGUUUCCGCUGCCCCCGCCCCCGCCCCCCAACUCUUUCCACCUUUCUCUGCCUUCGUAAGGGUCAUUUUACGCAUUUGUCUUUCCCACCCGGCUGAGAGUGCAAAAGAAGGGUGUGAACCCUUGUCUUCAGGGAAUUCUCUCUCUUGUUGCACUGGAUGCUUGGGGAAUUUAUUUUUUGGUUGUCUUUUUUUCCCUCAUUGAAGCUUGGAAUUACCUAGCUGGAAGGGAUCUUACAGGCUGCCCUUUUCCUUGCAGAGCUGGAAGUGGCUUGGGAGCCUGAGGGCCAGCAGAAGGCAGUGAAAGGGGCGCUCCCUCAACUGGUACAGCUGCUGCUAUGGCAGCCAGAGCAGAAGGAGGUCACCAUUGAUCCCACACGCACUUAAUUCUUCCUGCUGAGUCUCCGGACGGGUUAGAGCUCCAAGCCCCGCCCGGCCAGGAGGUUCCAGGGAGAAGAGGACCAGGUCGUCGCCACUGCCCUGGCUUCGGGGAGGAAAGAAAAGGAGCCUCUUGGUACCCCCAUCUCUGGGCCGUCCAGGGCGGCUUGGCUUAGUCUGGCAACCCCAGCCCACUCGGGUCAGGAGACCUCAAAGGUACA